GCAGUCGUGGCCUACUGGUUAGGGCUUCAGGUUUGUGACCAGAGGGUUGCGGUUUGAACCCCGACCA
rnacentral:tRNA from 1 species